UGGAGUGACUAUAGGAAACAAUUAUGGAACCAAAGGAAUGAUGGAACACGUACAAGAGAUGAAUUGAUUGCAAUGGUUCCAGAAGGAAUAAAUAUAGACCAUUGGGCUUCUUAUGUUGACUAUCGUAUAACUUCAAAAAUGAAGGUACUAUAAACUAUUUUUUUAUCCUUUAUAUUUAUGUACUUGAAUUUGUUAAUUUUUUUUUAUCGUAAAUAGGAAAUUUCCCAAAAAAAAUAAGGAUAAUAGGAAGAGGCAAACAUUUCCUCACACUGGUGGAUCCAAGAGCAUUGCAAGAAAGAGACAUGAGAUGGAACAAGAAUGUGGUUGUAAAGUUAGUAGGGGAGAAGUAUGGAUAACAACACAUAAACAUGCUAAUGGAGAAUUUGUGAAUGAUGAAGCAAGAGAAAUUAGUGAAAAAAUUAAAGCAUAUGAAUCAAAUGCACCAUCAUUCACAAGACAUAUCAACUCAAGAUUCCCUAGCACAUGCUUUAGGAAGUCAAGAA